CAGGCUAAUGUUCUUUUAAUGUGCUAUCUUCAAAUAUAGUGCCUUGGAGGGUUAUGUGUGUCCUUAUAAAUAAAGCAAAAGCCAGAAAUGCCAAAGUAUAAAUGGACAACACUGAACUCCUUAAGAUGGCAAAAGGCAGGCAGUAUAGUUUGUUUUCAUGAUGUGUGAUUCCCAGGAGCCUCAGCAGAUUUCAGCAGGGGAAACCUACCAGAGAAGUCCUCUUGGCUGCAGAUUACAAGAUCUUUAAGGAGCUCUGUAGAAGUAGAGAAGGGUUAUUAAAAAGAGAUUACUUCCAGGCUGUGACAAACUUGUCGGCACAAGCUAAAAGUGACUUUUCAGAUGUUUACAACGAGUUUGAUAAGAUUUUUAGAAGGACAUCAUUAAGCACCUCUUCAGCACUGAGGGCUGACAAGGUCGUAGGAGUGCUGCGAAAGAGACGCAUCAAGGAAUUGAUCUCUGGUUUUCACAUGCCAGUAAAAGUUAGGACAGCAUCCUCAACAGCAGGUGGCAGAUGA
rnacentral:lncRNA from 1 species